GACGAACGCUGGCGGCGUGCUUAACACAUGCAAGUCGAGCGGAGACAAUUGGCUUCGGCUGAUUGUUUUAGCGGCGGACGGGUGAGUAACGCGUGAGCAAUCUGUCCCAGACAGGGGGAUAACACUUGGAAACAGGUGCUAAUACCGCAUAAGACCACGAGAUCACAUGGUUUCGGGGUAAAAGGAGGAAUCCGGUUUGGGGUGAGCUCGCGUCCGAUUAGCUAGUUGGUGAGGUAACGGCCCACCAAGGCGACGAUCGGUAGCCGACCUGAGAGGGUGAACGGCCACAUUGGAACUGAGAAACGGUCCAAACUCCUACGGGAGGCAGCAGUGGGGAAUAUUGGGCAAUGGGCGAAAGCCUGACCCAGCAACGCCGCGUGAGGGAAGAA
rnacentral:rRNA from 1 species